CGUAUAGGGGAGCCGAAGGGAAACCGAGUCUUAACCGGGCGUUAAGUUGCAGGGUAUAGACCCGAAACCCGGUGAUCUAGCCAUGGGCAGGUUGAAGGUUGGGUAACACUAACUGGAGGACCGAACCGACUAAUGUUGAAAAAUUAGCGGAUGACCUGUGGCUGGGGGUGAAAGGCCAAUCAAACCGGGAGAUAGCUGGUUCUCCCCGAAAGCUAUUUAGGUAGCGCCUCGUGAAUUCAUCUCCGGGGGUAGAGCACUGUUUCGGCUAGGGGGCCAUCCCGGCUUACCAACCCGAUGCAAACUGCGAAUACCGGAGAAUGUUAUCACGGGAGACACACGGCGGGUGCUAACGUCCGUCGUGAAGAGGGAAACAACCCAGACCGCCAGCUAAGGUCCCAAAGUCAUGGUUAAGUGGGAAACGAUGUGGGAAGGCCCAGACAGCCAGGAUGUUGGCUUAGAAGCAGCCAUCAUUUAAAGAAAGCGUAAUAGCUCACUGGUCGAGUCGGCCUGCGCG
rnacentral:rRNA from 1 species